GGCCAGUAGAGCUAAUCUUCUUAGCAAUCACAAGGUUUGACUGUUGAAAGAGAACAAAGUUCACAUCGUCAACAACAACAGUAGGGGCGAUUCUGCAAACCAGAGAGAGGGACGGGGAGAGAAAGAUAGAGAGACAGAGAGAAUCACAAUUCCUACUUUUACCUCUGGAUUAAACCCACCAUACUUCUCCCCCAAGGAAUUAUUCUGUGGAUUAUCUCGCUUCCUGCAGCGGUGAGACUUGAUGUGACACCCCGAUGCUGUCUGAAUUUAAAAACUUUUAAAUCUUGAAGUUAUGUGACUGCCAUCGCAAACACGUCACCUUUGACCUCCACUUAAUUCCUGGCUACUGAUACAAAUCCACUGCAGUACCAACAGCUGUCAGGACCACGAUGUAUUAGCUCGCUGAUAAUAUCCCGUGGCCAUCUGUAGCUCAUCACUGCCUGCAUCAAAACCUGUCCUACUGGGGAACCUGAAAACUCAGCAGGAUGGAGGUGCUGAGCGGCCCCUGGGCUGAUUUGGCUCUGCUCCUUCGACAGACCGUGGCGCAGACAGACAGAGAGACAGAUAGCUUUUUCCCUCUCUGGCUGUUCGGUCUGCUGCUGUUCCUGUCGGUCUGUCUGCUUCUGCUGCAACUGAUCGUCUACCUCAGCUGGAAACUCAGACAGGUUGAGGCGGAUGUGGAGGUGCAAAACAGAAGCGCCAUCUACCGGGAUAUAAACAGAAGUGCACACCGGAGGAGAAGGAGUGUUGGGUAGAACUGAAUCACCUGACCACACACACAGGGCCGGUUCUAGCCCAUUGGCUGCCCUAGGCGAUUUUGAGAUUUUGCGGGGGGGGGGCGCAAAAUCUCGAAAUAUGGGUUGGGGCAUGUUCAUUUAAUUCAAUGAGGGUUUUAUAUCCCAUGCUUUAAAAAAAAAAAAAAUUCGUUAAUCAAUGCUGUUAAAACAAAGAUGUGUGCUUAAGGGCGCCACUAGGGGGCGCCCCCCGCCAAUUUGGCGCCCUAGGCGGUCACCUUGAUGGCCUGUAGGAAGAACCGGCCCUGCGCGCGCACGCGCGCGCACACACACACACACACGCACACACACAUGACCUAAACCUUCUGAAAUAAUGACUUUUCUGUCCGAUUGCACGGACAUCUCUGCAAAUCAGUGUGAUAAUUAUCAAAUCUAUCAGGAAGAGACUUUAUCGCAGCCAUCAAAGUGCCUUAAGAUGAUGAAUGUUGAAGCGCCUUAAGAAAAAACAUUAACACUGAAAAAGAUUUGUGAUGACAACAGUUUUUUUUAAUCCCUCAUGGUAAUCUGGAAUAUUACCUGCUCUGUCAUCGUUAUGAAGCUAAAGGCAUCAUAUAGCUGCAUUAGUAUAAAUUUCACACUCUGAAAAGAUCAUUAUUUUUGUAUUAUUGUACACUUAUGUUUCAUUAUAAGACUACCUGAGCCGAAGAUACCAGUUUUAUGAGAAUUAACAUACAGGAUUUACAUUUUAUACAACAAAUUGAUUUAUGAAUGAAUAAAAAAUGUGACAAACAGAUUUCAGAGUAUAACAAUCCUUUAUUUAAACAGUGUUACACAGGGGAGGAGUGGCUGUGCGUGGGGGAGACACAAGACAAUAAGCUGCUAGAUAGAAAAACCCUACUGAUGAUCAUUGGUUGGCUAAAGAGAGAACAAUGAAGCAGCUGUGGCUGGUUUUCCAAAGUGGGUUUUUUAAUGCAAAGUUUUUCCUUUUGAGUUUUUAAGUCACUGAAAUACAAAAUGAUGCUGGUUUUAUCAAAACUGUCAAAUCUGUGGUAAAAAGCAUGAGAUAAAACUGUUAAGGUAAUUUCCAUUUAUCUACUUCAGCCUCAUACACAACACAUACUUUGUUUUGACUGGAUCUUAUCAAUAAAAUCUUUCUGUUACCAUGUUUGUACGGAGCAGCCACUGUAACUACUGAUAACUUCAGUUUGUUUUUACUGUUAAUAAAGUUACUUGAGACGA